ensembl:lncRNA
CACACAUACUCCAUGCUACCCUUGCCCUGGGGGCUGAGUAGAGCCCUGAGGGAUCAUCCUCUUCACCACCAGCCUAGACCUCAAUGAGAUUAACCUAGGCAGCUCUGUGAGGAUGGCAGACUUGUCCUUGGGAUGCGCAGCCCACGCAGGCCACUGUGCUCAGGGUCAGGUCUGAAUUUCACAGCUCACAUGAGUCUCUUCAGUCUUUGCCUAGCCUUAAAACUGAAGGAGUUUCUGGGCAGGGUCACACUUUGCCUGAGCUGGUCUUAGCACAAAGAUGGCACUAAUUAAACAGUUAUGUAAAUAAUAACCACUUCAGGUUAGUUAAUCAGCCUAGAUAACAUAUCCAGCUCCCACACAGCACUCUCUUCUCAUCCACACAGCAAACACUGCAAUUUUAGUGCAAUGCUGAUGCAGUGUUGAAACACCCAGUAAUCAUUCAUUAGCUGAAACACUAGCAUCUAACAGCAAGCAGCAUAGCAUCUCAGCUCUGCAUCCCCUGAGGCCCUCAAGAGAUUAUUAAAAAUCCCCAGGUCCUCAGAAAUGUCAGUCUGGGAAUCCCUUUGUUUUAAACAAAAUGAAGGACUGGUCCUCUCCUUGAAACGCCCAACUUAUUCUCAGAGCCUUUUUAAAUCAAAUACAGAUAUGCUCUAUUCUUUCUGCAGAUCCAUCUGGCUGCUUAAAGGCAAAGAAAAGAACACUGCCACAUAAAGUGCAUACGCAUCUCCAGACAAAUUAAACCCCAGAGCCAGGUCAACGACCAGCUGAGUAUCCUGGGGAUGGGCAGGUAUUUUAACUGUGUGGCAGCUUGCUGGAGGAGAAGGAAGGAGAGGACGUGGGGAAGGCAUAGGGAACCAAAAAAUAGAACAGAUUUGUUAUUAGAAAGAUGACAUUUACAAAUACCAUUCCCUUUGGGUGAAGUUACACUUAAGCUAGAUGGCUCAGACAAUACUAAAACUGAGAUGAGGCUUUAUUUCUGAAGUUCUUUUCUUCUGAGGAACCUGAGACACUUUCAGAGAAGCAUGAAUUAAGCCUCACAACAGUAGUGUGCAUGAAACAGUGACUAUUCUCCAUUUAGUAGAAGGGGUAUACAAAUGCAAAGAGGUCAUGUGAGUUGUUUGAGGGCGUACAGGAAGUCUGUGGCACAGCACAGAAAUAGAAUCCAGACCUCUUGACUCCUAGACUUGUACUUCAACCACAACUCAUCUUUCUUCCCUUAAACAUUCAAGAAGUUGAAAGCCAAGCAGCAUCAAGUCAAACAUCUGAGCGAUGCUUGUCUUAGAUUUGUGAUGUGGCUCAGACUGUGUUCCUUCGGGCUGGCUAGAAACUGACACAGAAACAUCACUUCCUGAGGGGUCGUGAGAAAUGGAAGAAGACGGAGGGAAGAGGACUACUGAGACACUGAGACUUUCAAACCCAUCUUCUCAGCCUUCUCCUUACCAUAAAAUGACACAGCAGUGUUUUCUUCUGUUACCAUGGUGUUCUGCAAAUGACUUCAGCUCACUAACUAGAAAUUAAAUGGGCAAACCUCUGAAAGUUUGGCAGUUUGAAUAAACAUCUGCGGGGAUCUGGCUGGACCUGGGGACAGGCUGUCCUUUGCAAAAGAAACCACAGAAAUUGCUUGAGACGCACCACUCUUCUAAGGGCUUGUGCUGAGUCUAAAGGAAAGAGUGUGAAGCAUGUAAUGUCUGCACCCAGAGAGAGGGGGAAGAGCUAUUUGGAAGGGACACCUGGUGACCGCAGUGGCCAUGGGGCCACCAGCCAGCCUGCUCUCCUGGGUGAUGCAGCCGACUGCAGCAGAACAACAUGAACAUGCUGUCAGAUGCCUUGCAUCUGUGUGCUCUCAUUCCUGCUCUAUUGUGCAACUAUUCCACUCCAGUCUCAGCUGAGGCUUCAAGUGGGAAUAACCCAAAAUACCACAACAACAGCUGUUUUGUUGGAUUUUAUGGAGCUGAAACCCAGGAGUCCUGGAAAUCUUCAAAUAAAGCUUUUUCCCAUAAAGGAAACUUCCAGAUGCAUAAGCCUGAGUGUUUGUGAGCAGCUCAUGUCUGUGUAGUAAGCUUGCAUUUUUUAUGUCUUCCUCUUGUCAUUUCAUUUAUAAUAAAUGUGUAAUAACUUGCUAAAUACUGCAGUAAUUCCUAAGAACAUUAAUGCAUUAUUUGAUGGUGAAAUUUCACUGGAAGGCCACCAUCAUCUGACUCCACAUAUUUUAGCAGGCUUUCCUUUACUGAAUAGAUUGCCUUUGAAUAAAAAAUUCCAAAAUUGAGAGCAGUCUUUAGGAAAAAUUUUCAUGGGUUUGACAAGCCAGUGGACAAGGGUUACGAUGCUCAAAGCUGCCUGUGAUAUGUAACAUGUCUUUUUUACCAGGCGGUGAAGGAGCAUAUUUCUACAUGAGGCAUUUCAAAGAAAGCCAGAUCAUUUUUUCCACAGGCAGCAGGAUGCUGUGCGCAAACAGUCACCCCACGUUUGUCAUCUUACAGUAAGGCGCUGAGACUUCACCUACGGAAGCUUCACAAAGCUUUACAAUACACUAUCUGCUCACUGUGAUGUCUUACACACUUUCCAACUGCUAUAGAAAAGGGUGAAA